rnacentral:rRNA from 1 species
UACGAAGGGGGCUAGCGUUGCUCGGAAUCACUGGGCGUAAAGCGCACGUAGGCGGAUUGUUAAGUCAGGGGUGAAAUCCUGGAGCUCAACUCCAGAACUGCCUUUGAUACUGGCGAUCUCGAGUCCGGGAGAGGUGAGUGGAACUGCGAGUGUAGAGGUGAAAUUCGUAGAUAUUCGCAAGAACACCAGUGGCGAAGGCGGAUCUCUGGGCCUUACCUGACGCUCAGGCGCGAAAGCUAGGGGAGCAAACAGGG